rnacentral:misc_RNA from 1 species
GAUGAAGAACGUAGCGAAAUGCGAUAAGUAAUGUGAAUUGCAGAAUUCAGUGAAUCAUCGAAUCUUUGAACGCACAUUGCGCCCGCCAGUAUUCUGGCGGGCAUGCCUGUCUGAGCGUCAUUUCAACCCCCAAGCAACUUCUGCUUGGUGUUGGGGAUCGGCCGUCAAACGCCGCCCCCGAAAUCUAUAGGCGAUCUCGCUGUAGCUUCCUAUGCGUAGUAGUAACAUCUCGCAUCUGGAGAGCGGCGCGGUCAUGCCGUAAAACACCCAACUUCUCAGGUUGACCUCAGAUCAGGUAGGAAUACCCGCUGAACUUAAGCAUAUCAAUAAGCGGAGGA